rnacentral:rRNA from 1 species
UACGUAGGGGGCAAGCGUUGUCCGGAUUUAUUGGGCGUAAAGAGCGUGUAGGCGGCCAGGUAGGUCCGUUGUGAAAACUCGAGGCUCAACCUCGAGACGCCGAUGGAAACCAUCUGACUAGAGUCCGGAAGAGGAGAGUGGAAUUCCUGGUGUAGCGGUGAAAUGCGCAGAUAUCAGGAGGAACACCGGUGGCGAAGGCGGAUCUCUGGGCCUUACCUGACGCUCAGGUGCGAAAGGCUAGGGGAGCGAACAGG